AUAUAUAAAACACACAUGCAUGCAUAUACUUAUGAGCAAUCCAUCAUCCAUAGAUUCACAAGUCUCCAUCCAUACAUAAUCCAUACAUAUAUAGGUUCACAAGUCCAGGACAGCCAAAAGCACAACCAUCCAUCAGGUCUAAAUGCAUACAGUUGUAGGUUCAUAAGUCAAAGUAUUACAUCAUAGAAAAAAGUGCAAAAUAGGUUUUAGGUAGAAACAUAUCCCAGCAGAAGAUCCUUUUAGCCUCACCAAACACACCUCUUGAAACUUGUGAAUGCAAAGGCAUUAUGCUGGUGACCUGUAAAGAAAAAGGUAAUGGCCAAAUAGAUCAGCUCGGAAGAACACAUCUUCCAAACAUAGAAGUUGCAUGGGUUGAAAAAGAAAAUCAACUCAUCCAAACGAAAAGACACAUGUGUGUUAACCUGUACUUUGGAUUGCACAAGGCAUAGAAAGAAUGUGUGGAUGUACUCAUAUGAACAGAUUGUGCACUAUGUAUGAAUCAUCAGGAAAAUCAAUGUAACCUAUCACUAUAAAUAUAUACCAAUUGUCAUCUUUUGGUGUAGUAUAAUUUCUCUUGAUUGCUGUGAAGUAAACAAAACAUUCAAAAACAGGGGCGAAGUGCAAAAUCAGAACUUAGGCCCUCGAUGUCAUUCAAAAUUAGAAAGCAAACUUUAUAAUAUAUAUCACGUUGGUAGUGCAAUUGUUUGAAUAACUACAUUCUAUCAAAAAGUGAUUUUCACUGUAACUCAAAAGUAAUACAUUCUAGUGCUAGAAGAAAUUGCAGAAAAGGAAACUAUAUUACAGAAAAAACGGCGACUAAAUAAACAGAUGGGUUUUAGGGUAAAUAACCAGAUGGUUGGUUGAGGCCUUGAGGGUGAUCCCCAAGCUAGUAACUGGUCAAGUUUAUUGAGUAGCCAGUAGGAUAGUCACUAGUAAUACUAGUCAGGAGUCAGGAUUACUAUUACGUGCAAAAUUGGGGCCCUAAUAAUUUGGGAUAGUCAUCAAUAGUUAUGAGAAUGUAUACCAAGUGAACAGCCCACUGAUUAAGUUUGCACUUGGUUUCAGGAAAAGAGUUUGCAGGCACAUAAAUGUCUGUGGAAAGUUUAAGUAGUAGCUGCAGAAUUAUUUAAGAAACAAGAAACAGAGUUGCUGGUUGUGAUUCAGAAUAGAAGGACUUAAGCAUAUGUUUGAAAGUAGGCACAUUUUUUAUCUACUGGGAAAACCAAAAAAAGUACUAGUUGCUAAGGAGGAAAUAAGAAACUUGUAGGUUCCUACUUUCAAGCACAUGCUUCAUUCAGAAAAAUAAUAAGUCAUCAGUAUGUGAAAGGAGAAACAUAUCUUUUCUUUAGUAUAAUAUUCCAAAAUUCUAAGAAGAUACAAUACCUUCUAGCUGUGGGAACUGCUAUGGGCUGCCAUGGUUGCUUCUGCAUAACUUUACGAACACCCCAAUCUGCAAACAUAGGAUUAUCAACAGGAAGCAAUUUGAGAAACCUACAAUUGCUAAAAUAGACAUGAUUAGAAAGAAGUUUAAAAUAUCUAAAAGGUCAUGCAAUAGAUCGCCCGAGAGCAUUGGCCAUGGUCCUCACAUUCCCAUAAGGGCAUUGCAAAAUAGCAUCAUUUUUCAUCACCAUGUUAGCUACAACUUCAGAACAUUGAGAACCAUGGUCGGCGAGUCCCCUGGAAAGGCCUUAUUAAGCAGCUCUAGCAAUAUGUUAAAACUCUUAUCACUCCAACCCCAAGAAAUUUGGUGUGGAUUAAUCUAACUACAAAGUGUAGCUUUGAGAAGCUUGUGCACCCGGGAUAAAGUUUGGCAUCUGCAUCAUCUAAUAAUUGGUGAAAAGCCUCUAUAUUUAGAUCACUUCCAUCUUCCCUUAGGUCACCAUCAUUCCCACCAUCGUCCCCAACUUAACCGAAUUCAUGCCCUAUAUCUUGGAGCAUUUCUGGUAUCAAAUCAAGUACCUCAAAUAUGUCCUCAUCUUCAACCUCAUCAUUUUGAAACUCUUGUCCAUUAUGGUUUGCUUGUACUAAAUUUCGACCCUUGCCUAAAUAUUGCAAGCCAACACAAAUCAGUAUUUUUUUUACAGAACCAAGGCAUUGAAAUCAUAAUUACAAACCAAAGCAACCUUCCAAGUAUUCGAAAUAUAGUCAAACAAUUACCAUGUAACGAUAGAAACAAAUCACGAGAUAUUCAAAAUAUAGUCAAAAGAAACCACACAGUGAUAUAUAAAAAUCAAAUUAUCAGUUAUGAUAAGACUCACAAAAGGCUGCAAGGGCACUUCUUCGGUUAUUGAUGGUUGCAGCUUGAUACUUCUUCCCUUGCCAACUUUGAUCUCAAAACUUGUCUUUCAAGAUCAGUUUAGGCUGGUUAACCUGCAAACCAUCCAAACAUAAUUAGCAUGGGUGAAGAAUAAUCAACAAUUAUCCUGCAAUUAUCUAUCCAAUAUCUAUUUUUUGUUAGCCUAUUCUAUCUGUGUGUUCAUCAUGCAGCUCAUCCUACUUAACACUACCUUCAGGAAGGCCUAGGACUUGGUUAACCAGAAUAUGGCAUACAUGUUGGUAACAAGUUUAAUUUUCAGUUUUAUUCCUUUAAUCCUGACAUGCAUACUGGCAUAUGUAGGUCGUAUAUUACUUCAUCUGCACUAUACUCCUUGUUGUGGAAUUUACAUAACUAAGUAUUUAUGAGAUCACAAUAGAGGUUUUGUGAGUUGUAUAUUUCUGUUGCCAACAGUUGCUUAUUCUUUUCUAUAUGUGCAAGCAUGAUCUGCUGCAAAUUCUCUUUGCAUAUUGUUGUUGCAUAAACAGAUGAGAAGGUUUAGAUCUUCUCUUACUAGUUAGUCAGAAACCUGUUAUUUGGAGCAUAUCAAUGCCAGGCUGCUAGAUCUGAAGGCUAAUGUGACAAUUUGCUAGAUAAUUUGAUAGAGCGCAAUAGAGAAUGAUCUUACAAAACAUGGCUUUAAAUGCAUACCUGUAAAGACCGACCAAAAAAGAAAAGAGCUCAGUUGCAGCCUCUAUGUGCGACUGAGGCUAGCUGUUGCUGCUGCUGCUGCUUCAGUUGACGAACACAAGUUGAAGCCGUGGCAGAGGGCAGAACAGAGGAGCAGCAGCAACAGACGAACAGCAGUGGCAGUUGCACCAGGUGGUAGCACGAACGAACAGAGGAGCUGUCACACCGGGCUGCACUGUGAGGCGAAGCAGGGGCGGGGAUAGGGAUUGGGGAAUGGGGUGGCGGCGCUGGACUGGGGAUGCUGGUGCGGCGUGGAAGGAGAUGGGGAUGGGAGGCGGCGGCUCAGGGUGAGGGAUGCCGGUGCAGUGUGGAUGGGGAUUGGCGGCGGCGUGUCUCGGAAGUGUGGGUGGGGCAGCGCGAGUACGAGAUUUGGUGGCGUCCGGCUCUACGAGUACAAGAUUUGGGGGCGGCGGUGCUGGGUAGAGGCGUGCAUGGGGAGGGCGACGGCAGGGUGAUGAAGGGGAUGGAAGCGGGGUGGCAAGGAUGCGGGUGAGCCGCCGGCGGCGAUAGGCUGGGCGGGCGGCAAGGACGCUUGACGCGGGCGAGUCGGCGGCGGCGCUAGGGUUGCCGGCCUCGAAGGCGAGAUGCAGUGCGGCGGCUUACGAGGAGGGAGGGAGAGUGGCGGAGGAGAUAUGUGGAUAAGGGAAAAGAUAA
rnacentral:lncRNA from 1 species